GCCGGAUUGAGAAGGUGAUUGCAGCCUAACUGGCCACGUGAGUACUUUUUCCUGUUCUUUUUCAAUGCACGUUAUGGUGUGUAUGUUUGUGUGUGUGUGUUCUGAAUGCAGGCUAUUUAUUCCAUAUUUUUCAUCCCACUGUUUGGCUCCUAAGAAGCCCUCAAGGAAGCUUGAAGUAAGAAAACACCACCCUAGAAUAAUGUGGACAAUGGAUGGUCUGCAGGGGUUUGCCACGCCAUCCACCUCUUUGCCAACCAGAUCAGGAUGCGGAAUGGUCUGGCUGCAACUGUUGGCACCUGAGGAUGUCACCUGCAGUUGCCACUCACUUGCCCACAGGACCCACAGCUGCAGCUCAUCUGCCAGUGGGAGAUACCCAAAGAUAAAGCCAUUCUCCCAUGCUAGCAUGUGGAUUUGGUUCCCUCUGGUGCCCAAAGACAGGAAAUGCUGGUCUUUGCCAGUCUGCUCACUUUCCCUCCCCCUUUUGACCAGUCCGUCUUGUGCUCAGAAUUGCCCCCCCCCUCCAUUUGUCUCCUCAGGCUUGCCUCAGUUUCCCUUUGUGGAUAGUCUGGUCGGAGUCAGCAUCUGACUGUGUUAUUGUAGAAGUUUCUCAUUUUGGUUUGGUUUUUCUUUAAGGGUUUCUUUUAAGGUUUACAGGGAAGGUUUCCUAUUUUCAGCAUGGGGCUCCUCUGGACACAGGUGGACAGCGGGCAUGGAUUUAAUGUUUUCACCUUUGGAAGUGAGAAAGGACAAUUUGUGGUCAUGGUUUCUCUUUUUUCCCUGCUGUCAGAACGAAGCCCUGGUUCGCGCAGUGGCAAAUAGACACCUGGGGCUGCUGUAGGGCAGGGCAGUGGUGGCAUCCCAGCUUGCCAGAGGAAACCAUUGCAGAAGUGGUGAAUGUCCUCAUUCACCUGGAGGACACAGAAGAGGUGGCAGAGGCAGCAAAGGCUGCUCUGAAGCUGUUGGUCCCCAAAGUCAUCUGGUGAGCAGAACCGAAUGUGUUCCACCUGCACCAUGCACCGCAGAAGGCAGCUAAAUAUUUGAUCAAGACAUACUGCAAGGACGUCAUCCAGGGUGCUGCCCUGAGCUUAUUGCAGCCUGCUGCCAACCAACAGGUAUGUGUCCCGAGUGGCAGCACUGCUUGUUGGUAAGUAAAGCAACAUCCCUCCCUGGUAGGGAUGGAUGGACUCUCCUCUUGAAUGAUGGAAAUUACAAUCCAGGCAUGCGGCUAGGCAGGGGACCAGGCACCUCCUGAAUCUUUUUCUGAGUGCCCCAUGGAGUGUCUCUGGAUGGGUAAUGAAUUUGGAGAAAUUGGAUUGGUGUGCAGUGCCCCUAUGCAUUCAUCCCUGCUCUGCCACAGUACAUCAUGGCCCUUGUAAGCCACGCCUGAGAGUACCUGUUCUCCUCCCCACCCUCCCUUUGAUUCCAUUGGCCUUUCAGAGUGUGACCUCACUUUUUCCCACUGUCCCUCUAGGACACCAGGCUCACAACACGGCCAGCUUCAUUAUGGAAGAGGAUAUGUCUUCCUACUGUUCCUGUGAGGAGAAAAUGCUUCUGCUGAGAAGGGUGUUAAGUGAAGAGAAUUUACCGUAUU